AAUGAACGCUGGCGGCAUGCCUAACACAUGCAAGUCGAACGAGACCUUCGGGUCUAGUGGCGCACGGGUGCGUAACGCGUGGGAAUCUGCCCUUGGGUUCGGAAUAACAGUUAGAAAUGACUGCUAAUACCGAAUGAUGACGUAAGUCCGAAGAUUUAUCGCCCAGGGAUGAGCCCGCGUAGGAUUAGCUUGUUGGUGAGGUAAAAGCUCACCAAGGCGACGAUCCUUAGCUGGUCUGAGAGGAUGAUCAGCCACACUGGGACUGAGACACGGCCCAGACUCCUACGGGAGGCAGCAGUGGGGAAUAUUGGACAAUGGGCGAAAGCCUGAUCCAGCAAUGCCGCGUGAGUGAUGAAGGCCUUAGGGUUGUAAAGCUCUUUUACCCGGGAUGAUAAUGACAGUACCGGGAGAAUAAGCUCCGGCUAACUCCGUGCCAGCCGCCGCAGUAA
rnacentral:rRNA from 1 species